UGGAGUCAGCCUUUCCAUUCCAUUUGCUUCACAAAAUAAAAUUGAAUCCGUAACUUUUCCCAGCAAAGAAAACAAGGAAUGCGCGUGCUGCAACUCCUAAACUUUCAUCACCAAAUCUUCUCAUUCCAAAAAUUACAUUAACGUUCAAGGGCUUCCAUUAGAAAAAGUUCAAAAGAACCCUUAAAUUUUUUUUCAAAAAUGCAAUCCCUAAUUAUUUUUGAAAUUGGAAUUUCAAAAUCAAUAAAUCCAUCUCAGUGUGCCUUUAC
rnacentral:lncRNA from 1 species